UUAGAGUUUGAUCAUGGCUCAGGAUGAACGCUAGCGGGAGGCCUAACACAUGCAAGCCGGCGGUAGAAGUCCUUCGGGACUUUGAGAGCGGCGUACGGGUGCGUAACACGUGUGCAACCGCCUUUAUCUGGGGGAUAGCCUUUCGAAAGGAAGAUUAAUACCCCAUAAUAUAGUGACUGCAUCAGUUAUUAUUGAAAACUCCGGUGGAUAGAGAUGGGCACGCGCAAGAUUAGAUAGUUGUGAGGUAACGGCUCACCAAGUCUGUGAUCUUUAGGGGGCCUGAGAGGGUGAUCCCCCACCUGGUACUGAGACACGGACCAGACUCCUACGGGAGGCAGCAGUGAGGAAUAUUGGACAAUGGUGAGAGCCUGAUCCAGCCAUCCCGCGUGAAGGACGACGGCCCUAUGGGUUGUAAACUUUUUUGUACAGGGAUAAACCCAGAUACGUGUAUCUGGCUGAAGGUACUGUACGAAUAAGCACGGCUAACUCCGUGCCAGCAGCCGCGGUAAUACGGAGGGUGCAAGCGUUAUCCGGAUUUAUGGGUUUAAAGGGUCCGUAGGCGGGCCCGUAAGUCAGUGGUGAAAUCUCGCAGCUUAACUUGAAACUGCCAUUGAUACUGCGGGUCUUGAGUAAAUUUGAAGUGGCUG
rnacentral:rRNA from 1 species